AACGAACGCUGGCGGUAUGCCUAACACAUGCAAGUCGAACGAGAUCUUCGGGUCUAGUGGCGCACGGGUGCGUAACGCGUGGGAAUCUGCCCUUUGGUUCGGAAUAGCAGUUGGAAACGACUGCUAAUACCGGAUGAUGACGAAAGUCCAAAGAUUUAUCGCCAGAGGAUGAGCCCGCGUAGGAUUAGCUAGUUGGUGGGGUAAAGGCGCACCAAGGCGACGAUCCUUAGCUGGUCUGAGAGGAUGAUCAGCCACACUGGGACUGAGACACGGCCCAGACUCCUACGGGAGGCAGCAGUGGGGAAUAUUGGACAAUGGGCGAAAGCCUGAUCCAGCAAUGCCGCGUGAGUGAUGAAGGCCUUAGGGUUGUAAAGCUCUUUUACCCGGGAUGAUAAUGACAGUACCGGGAGAAUAAGCUCCGGCUAACUCCGUGCCAGCCGCCGCCGUAA
rnacentral:rRNA from 1 species